UUGGCAAAACCGCCGAAGGGCGGCGACGCAAAGCCAGAUGGGUCUAACGUCUCUCCGAAUGGAGAACACGCUAUGACAGCCGGUUGC
rnacentral:ncRNA from 1 species